UACGAAGGGGGCUAGCGUUGUUCGGAAUUACUGGGCGUAAAGCGUGCGCAGGCGGUUGACCAAGUCAGUGGUGAAAGCCCGGAGCUCAACUCCGGAACUGCCAUUGAAACUGUUCGGCUCGAGUACGAGAGAGGUGAGUGGAAUUCCCAGUGUAGAGGUGAAAUGCGUAGAUAUCUGGAGGAACACCGGUGGCGAAGGCGGCAUCCUGGACCGACACUGACGCUGAGGAGCGAAAGCGUGGGGAGCAAACAGG
rnacentral:rRNA from 1 species